GAUGAACGCUGGCGGCGUGCUUAACACAUGCAAGUCGAACGGUGAAGGCGGAGCUUGCUCUGCUGGAUCAGUGGCGAACGGGUGAGUAACACGUGAGCAAUCUGCCCCUGACUCUGGGAUAAGCGCUGGAAACGGCGUCUAAUACUGGAUACGAGCUGCGAAGGCAUCUUCAGCAGCUGGGAAGAAUUUCGGUCAGGGAUGAGCUCGCGGCCUAUCAGCUUGUUGGUGAGGUAAUGGCUCACCAAGGCGUCGACGGGUAGCCGGCCUGAGAGGGUGACCGGCCACACUGGGACUGAGACACGGCCCAGACUCCUACGGGAGGCAGCAGUGGGGAAUAAUGCACAAUGGGCGAAAGCCUGAUGCAGCAACGCCGCGUGAGGGACGACGGCCUUCGGGUUGUAAACCUCUUUUAGCAGGGAAGAAGCGAAAGUGACGGUACCUGCAGAAAAAGCGCCGGCUAACUACGUG
rnacentral:rRNA from 1 species